rnacentral:rRNA from 1 species
UACGUAGGGGCCAGCGUUGUCCGGAAUCAUUGGGCGUAAAGCGCGCGUAGGCGGUCAGGUAAGUCCGGUGUGAAAGUCAAAGGCUCAACCUUUGAAUGCCGCUGGAAACUGCCUGACUUGAGUCCGGUAGGGGCGAGUGGAAUUCCUGGUGUAGCGGUGAAAUGGCGCAGAUAGUCAAGGAGGAACACCAAUGGCGAAGGCAGCUCGCUGGAACGGUACUGACGCCUGAGGCGCGAAAGCGUGGGGAGCGAACAGG